GGGAGCGGCGGACGGGUUAGUAACGCGUGGGAACGUACCCUUUUCUAAGGAAUAGCCACUGGAAACGGUGAGUAAUGCCUUAUACGCCCUUCGGGGGAAAGAUUUAUCGGAGAAGGAUCGGCCCGCGUUAGAUUAGAUAGUUGGUGGGGUAAUGGCCUACCAAGUCUACGAUCUAUAGCUGGUUUUAGAGGAUGAUCAGCAACACUGGGACUGAGACACGGCCCAGACUCCUACGGGAGGCAGCAGUGGGGAAUCUUGGACAAUGGGCGCAAGCCUGAUCCAGCCAUGCCGCGUGAGUGAUGAAGGCCUUAGGGUCGUAAAGCUCUUUCGCCAGGGAUGAUAAUGACAGUACCUGGUAAAGAAACCCCGGCUAACUCCGUGCCAGCAGCCGCGGUAAUACGGAGGGGGUUAGCGUUGUUCGGAAUUACUGGGCGUAAAGCGCACGUAGGCGGAUCAGAAAGUUGGGGGUGAAAUCCCGGGGCUCAACCCCGGAACUGCCUCCAAAACUCCUGGUCUUGAGUUCGAGAGAGGUGAGUGGAAUUCCGAGUGUAGAGGUGAAAUUCGUAGAUAUUCGGAGGAACACCAGUGGCGAAGGCGGCUCACUGGCUC
rnacentral:rRNA from 1 species